UGUUGAAUGCUGAACCUCAUCUAUGGGAUAAUCUGGCAAUUUCAUUUGGUCCAAGAAUCUUGAGGUUUAAGAAAAAGCCCUUUCCUCUUCAUGAGACACUUGCAAAUCUCUACCAUAAACACACUGCUGAGGGAAACUUCAACUUUACCUCUACCGCUGACCAAAAACCACACAUGGAUAUCGAAACUGAUUCUGAUGAUGAUGAAGAAGAUAAGGAUGCUGAUUUCGAGAUCUUAGAGCAACCACAUGUGGAGCAUGUACAGGUCAAUCAAAGGCAGGUUGGGUUGGAGCAUGUAGUGGCUACUCAAACACAAGCUAGUGUGACAAAUGUAGAGGCCAAUAAAAGAAAUGGUGCUGGCCCCUCA